AACGAACGCUGGCGGCAUGCCUAACACAUGCAAGUCGAACGAGACCUUCGGGUCUAGUGGCGCACGGGUGCGUAACGCGUGGGAACCUGCCCUUAGGUUCGGAAUAACUCCCCGAAAGGGGUGCUAAUACCGGAUAAUGUCUUCGGACCAAAGAUUUAUCGCCUUUGGAUGGGCCCGCGUUGGAUUAGCUAGUUGGUAGGGUAAAAGCCUACCAAGGCGACGAUCCAUAGCUGGUCGGAGAGGAUGAUCAGCCACACUGGGACUGAGACACGGCCCAGACUCCUACGGGAGGCAGCAGUGGGGAAUAUUGGACAAUGGGCGAAAGCGUGAUCAAGCAAUGCCGGGUGAGUGAUGAAGGCCUUAGGAUUGUAAAGCUCUUUUACACGAGAUGAUAAUGACAGUACCGGGAGAAUAAGCUCCGGCUAACUCCGUG
rnacentral:rRNA from 1 species